ACAGGUGAAAGAUCUUGAUACCACACAGGUAUAAUUACAAUCUGCAAACCUACUCAAGGGGAGUUGCAGGUGAAGAUAAGGAAGUCAGCCUCAUUCCAUUACCUAAUCAGAUUCUCAGCCAAAGACAAACAGCAACAUAUGGGACUUUAAGGGUCUUGCUCUGUCACCCAGGCUGGAGUUCACUGGCAUGAUCAUGGCUCACUGCAGCCUCCAUCUCCUGGACUCAGAGACGGAGCUUCACCAUGUUGCCCAGGCUGGUCUUGAACAUCUGGACUCAAGUUAUCUGUCACCUUGGCCUCCCAAAGUGCUGGGAUUACAGGCAUGAGCCACAGCACCUUGCUUAUUCUUUUGUUUGCUAUUAAAAUAUAAGCAUUUUCUAGUCAAUAAAAAUUAACCAAGAACAUAA
rnacentral:lncRNA from 1 species